UUCAUUUCAGUAGCAUAUCACAUCAAAUACAAUACAUCAUCCACCGACUACACGCAUUAAGGUUCAACGCCUAACAAGGGCGCAUCAAAAUAAUUUUACAUGUACACAACAGAAUACUUCUGCAAAAACACCUGCAAGGUUCUAGUAUACAAGGUUCAACGCAUUAAGGUUCAUCCUCUUCCUCUGCACAAUAUGCUCUUGCCAUUGCCGCCUGCAAGAAAAAAAUGAUGGUAUCUGAAAAAGAAGUAUGCAGUAUGUCCAAAUUAGGAGUAUACCAAAACAGUAUGAGUUUUGCAGCCUAAUUAGCAUUUUUUUUCUCAUAUACAUAUUUCUUUACUAUAAUAACUAAAUGUAUGUUGGAACACCAACUAUUUCUUGUAUUAGAUAUAUCACAAAAUCUAUUUCAUGGUAUUAAAAUUGUGUAAUGCUUCAGCCCCAGCUAACCAAUAUAUCUAGUAGUCUCCGUACCGAAGUUAGAAUAUAUUUGAUACGGAGUCGUCAAAUGCACUCUCUGCUGCACAAUCCUUUUAUUCAAGUAAUCUCUUUGGUAGAAUAACUUAAUGUAUGUUGGAACACCAACUAUUUCUUCUAUUAGAUAUAGCACCAAAUCUAUUUCAUAGAUUUUACUGUUUUCUGAAAUAAUGUGAUAUCCACGGCAUGGAAAGAAAGCCUGUCUUAUUGGAUAGAAUUCAAGAUGCAUUUUCCCUUUUAUGUCAAGUGGACGUAAGAAUUUCUAGUCCGUGUGUAUCAUGUAUAACUCUAAUUAAGUAUACCUGAACAUUCCAAAGGCGAAGUUUUAUAUUAUAUUGGCAAACUUUAUAUUCUUUUUUUUUGUUUGCAGGGAGCAAACUUUUAUAUUCAAUGGCGGUAGAUAAAUAUUGCUAAAAUCCUAUAAGAUAAUGCACCGAGUUAAUCAAUCCACGAAGGUUAUUCAGAGAAACAUAGGUAGUAAUAUCAUCGAUACAGGGGACAUAUCCUUUAGUUACAUGGUGAUAUUAUAUGCAUAGGUGCAACAUGCAAUUGAUAGAGAUAUUAAUCCAUCUAGAAAUCUAGGAAGAUAUACUUAAGCACUCAUCAAAAAAUGAUUCUAAUAUUCAAUCCUACUUAAAAAAGAGUUAUGCGUACACGUAUUGAUUAAGUAGAAGUAAAUACUAACAAAUUCGUGCAGAAAUUUACUUCGGCCAACGCAAAUCCGACUCAACUGGAUACAUACAACUAAAUCAAACCUUUGUCUCUUAAGUAAUCAUUGAUCCCAAUGCAGCGAUCACACCUCCACUUCAAUUGUCCUGCACCGGCAUUUUUCUCACCCACCUUACUUGACAUUAAUUGUACCUGCAAGGCGACAACUACAUUAGCUUUCUCCUUGAGCCGUUCACAAUGGUGUUCCACUGAUUAUUCAAGAGGCAGGAUCACAUAUACACAGUGACCUGAGUGAUUUAGCAUUGAUUGACAUCUGUUACUUGUGCACAUGUGUGUGAAUAAAAUAGCACCUAAAUUAAGCCAGAUAAAUAUGAAAGAAUUUGUAGUAGCUCCUUACCUUGCUGGCACAAAUAAUCGAUUGACAGUGAAUAUUAUAAAAAUAGGUAUACCUGAACUAAAACUGUAGCUAAAACAACUUCAUGCACCAUAUAACUACACUAAGACAAUUAAAUGCUGAAACUUCCACAUUAAGACAAUUACUUUGCUUUAAAUUAGGAUCUAAAAAAUGUAUAUAUGUUAAGUUAACGUGGGAGAUUGUUUGUGUAAAAGAGUCCAAUUUAUACCAUGUAACUUACAUGAUAGAUGAGCUGAGUAUAAAUAUAUACCAUAGUAAAAUUAUCCUGAAGAUUAGGCUAUCUAUAAU
rnacentral:lncRNA from 1 species